rnacentral:tRNA from 1 species
GGGGUUGUGGCUCAGUGGUAGAGCACUUGCUUAGCAUGUGUGAGGCCCUGGGUUUGAGUCCCAGUACCA